rnacentral:rRNA from 1 species
UACAGAGGGGGCAAGCGUUGUUCGGAAUUACUGGGCGUAAAGGGCGCGUAGGCGGCCGCCUAAGUCAGACGUGAAAUCCCUCGGCUCAACCGGGGAACUGCGUCUGAUACUGGGUGGCUUGAAUCCGGGAGAGGGAUGCGGAAUUCCAGGUGUAGCGGUGAAAUGCGUAGAUAUCUGGAGGAACACCGGUGGCGAAGGCGGCAUCCUGGGCCGACACUGACGCUCAUGCACGAAAGCGUGGGGAGCAAACAGG